CUUAUCAAGAGCGGCGGAGGGAACAGGCCCUGUGAAGCCCGACAACCUGCACAUUGCGUGUAAGGUGCCAAAUCCUGCGGGAAACCGAGAGAUAAG
rnacentral:ncRNA from 1 species